CAGAUGACCUUAACAUAGGCACUGACUUGAAUUUCUUUGCAGUAAGUGCUACAUGUUGGGGUAGUCUUU
rfam:Oryzias latipes DNA, chromosome4, strain: Hd-rR.